rnacentral:sRNA from 1 species
AGAGAAGGCAGAUAUUCUCCUCCUAAGAGCUGGAUUGCCUUCACAUUUCCAUCUUCAGCUCUCAGAAAUUGAGUUCCAUGAGAUUAUUGGCUCAGGUUCUUUUGGGAAAGUAUAUAAAGGACGAUGCAGAAAUAAAAUAGUGGCUAUAAAACGUUAUCGAGCCAAUACCUACUGCUCCAAGUCAGAUGUGGAUAUGUUUUGCCGAGAGGUGUCCAUUCUCUGCCAGCUCAAUCAUCCCUGCGUAAUUCAGUUUGUGGGCGCUUGCUUGAAUGAUCCCAGCCAGUUUGCCAUUGUCACUCAAUACAUAUCAGGGGGUUCUCUGUUCUCCCUCCUUCAUGAGCAGAAGAGGUAUGGGUCUUUUGUUCUGAUUUAUCCUUGGACAUUCCAUAGAAACUACUCUUGCAAUACUUCAGAGGGUUUCCCAUUGGAUGAGCCUUCACCUUUUGAAAUCUGAGUGCUGCUAGCAAGUGUGUCAUUUUUAAUAUCGCUAAUAAUUUAUGCCUAAUAACUGUGUUUCAAUGAAUAGAAAUACUUUAUGCUUUCUUAGCAGAAAUUCAGUUGAAGAUAACAAAUUUAAGGAAUUUAAAUUGGAAACUGGAGCUUAAAAUAAUUAGGCUAAAUUUGAAAUACUGAUAAAGAAGAUAUAUGUAAGCUCAGAAUAAAAUAAACUUUUAAAAAAGCG